CCUAACCAACUGAGUUUGCAGGUCAUGUAAAAAAAAAAACUGAGUUUGCAGGUAGUCGGUAUCCGAAACUCGCGUUCCUCCCGAACCACAUGAAAGAAACUGACCUCACUGCUCGUUCCCGCGGUGCCGCCGCGUUCACCGCACGCACUCAUUCGGCCGUCCCGCUCGCGCACCGACACCGGGUUCCCUUGGGAACGGCGGCGACGAGGAGGUCCGGCCCUUGGCGCGACCGGCGGCCCUCCCCCACCCCCCACGCGACGGCAUCGUACGGGGAUGACUGGCAACAGGCUAAUGUCUUCUUCAGGGCAUUGGUAAUUUUUGAAUCCUUCAGGAAGUGAGACAAUUCCUUCGAAAUACAGGCUGGAAAACCUGAGCUCUGCCAAUGCAAUUUUAAUAUUCAGUUGUGCUUCUGCACUGCUGCACAUAAGCAUAUGACGCUCCUUUUCUUCUCUGUUGGGUUGAUGUGGACUGGGAAUCCAUCCAGGUUUGGAAUGUUCUGGGAGUUUUGUUCUGGUCAAUCUAAUCAAAAUAUUGCUUUCUGGGUGGAUGCUCCAAUAUAUCCAGAUUGUUGGGUCUUUGUUUGCUUCCUGGUGGAGUACCAACAUCAGUUAAUUUCCGAAUCCGACACUAAAAUUUGGGGAAUCAGUUACUCAUCCAUCAUUGGUUUGUUUCCUGCAUGAUACGAUUCCUUCUACUUGCAAUAGACGUGUUACUGAACUUCAUCCCAUAUAUUUUGUUUUCACUCAAAUUUACAAAUGGAGUGCUCCACUCAGUUUACUGUCGGCUCCGCUCUGCUGAUAGGAACAAGCUUACCUUCACUGGAGGUACUGCAUAUAUUUGACCCGAAACAUGAGUCAAAUAUAUGCAGUACCUCCAGCGAAGACUCAUGCAAACCCACUAGGGCAGAAGUCUAUUAGAAGUCUAUGAGUGGUUGAUGACCUUUAAAGUUUGAACAGAAUGAUGCUCCAAACAAGGCCAAAUCCCAAGUAUCUUAGUACCUGCAACAAGAAAGGCCAUGAAAUGGAAUCAAAGGCCUUUGAGAUAUCCAACUUGAGGAGAACUCUCUGCUCUUUUUGCCAAUGGAGCAAUUUGGCUAUUUGUUGGACACCAAAUUUUUCAUGAAUGCACAUUCCUUUGACAUAAGCACUUUGAUUGGGAGACACCAAAUCCUUGAGCUUCCUAGCCAGCCUAUUGGCUAGCAUUUUGGUGAUAAGCUUGGAAAAGCUAUGGACUAGGCUUAUAGGGUGAAAGUCUUUGAUUUCCAUGGCAUCUGGAGAUUUUGGUAGCAGGGUGAUAUAGGCUGAAUCCAGAAGGAAUAAUCUGCUCACAUCUCCCUGCAGAACUCGCCAUUGAUGGAUUUUUCAUGAUUUGGUUGCAAUACUUUUUGGACUUGAGAGGAUGCCACCUGCACCACCAUCAUUCAACAUCUGAGUUGACGUGACAGAAAUACCCAUCUGAGGGUCAGGCAUUGCAGCACCGAUGCUUGAAGCACUACCAAGUGCGAAGUUACCAUUCAGCAUCUCCACUGAGCUUGUGUUGUUGUUGAUUGCGAAGUUACCAUUCGACAUCUCCAUCGAGCUUGUGUUGUUGUUGAUUGCAAAGUUACCAUUUGACAUCUCCACCGAGCUCAUGAUGUUGUUGAUUGCGAAGUUACCAUUCGGCAUCUCCCCCGAGCUCAUGUUGUUGUUGAUUAAGAAGUUACCAUUCGGCAUCUUCACCGAGCUCAUGUUGUUGUUGAUUGCCAAAUGACCGUUCGGCAUCUCCACCGAGCUUAUGUUGUUGUUGAUUGAUAAAUCCUGCAGUCAGAAAACAAGUUUAGUUAGAUGCAACCUUAUCUAACUCCGUACUGCUAGUACAUUGGCAUAUGUGCAAAGCCUGAAAAACUUAGAGACAAGAUAGUAAAUGCCAAAACGAAAGCAGGCUGGGUAAAAAUGGGCAGGCAUCAUGCAGGAAAAGAACGGGAAAGCUUCUUACCUCAUUAAGCAUGUUGAUCGUGGGAGAACGCCGCCUGCACCACCAUCAUUCAGCAUCUGAGUUGGCGCGGCAGAAAUGCCCAUCUGAAGGUCAGGCAUUGCAGCACGGAUGCUUGAAGCGCUACCAAGUGCGAAGUCACCAUUCGGCAUCUCCACCAAGCUUGUGCCGCCAUCCAUUGCGAGAUCAUUUCUCCAUGUCGUCCUCGGCUUCUUCCAGGUCGAUGGGUUUGGUGACAAGUUCUCCUUGUUCGCAUCAUGGCCAUCUUCAUCAUGUUCAUGACUCUUCGUCCAUCCACGUUUGGUGCUCUUUGCACCGUCCUGCUCGCCGGCGCCGGGUCCUCCUGUAGGCUGCGCCUUCUCAGCGGCAGCAUUACGGAUGCUGCUGCUGAGGCUCCAUGGUUCAGGGGUUCUCCUCGCCAUGACAUGCCCCCACAUGAUAUCGAGGUGCUUGGUUUGCACUGGUUUCACCAGGUACUCGCACGCCCCAUAAGCUAUGCCUUUCUUCAUAGCCUCGGGCCUCUCGUCCGCUGAUAACACUGCACACAUCAUAUCAUAUCAUCAGUGGCUCAGUUUGGCAACGCAGGAUUAAAAAAAACACUAGUGCACCACUGAAUGUCGAUCCCUGUGGAUUAAGGUCAGAAAAAAAAAGUGUUCAUUUGAUGAACUCUUGUCUUUUCCAUAUAUAGACGAGGAAACUGUAAGCAGACAUGUUAUACAUGUUGAACAAACAUCAAACGUGCCAAAUAAACUCUGCAAUGUUCUAUUCUGUUCGGAACUGGAAGUGGAAAUCACGGAGGAAUGAAGCUCGUAUCAAAGACAUUAACGGCUAAGAGCAGCCGGACUUUGCAAAUCCAAUCUCUCAAACGCCCGCGGAUGCGCCCGGGCGCGUCCACGGAUACUGAUCGGUCAAGCCUCAAAUUUGCCUUGUCACAACCGGACACCUCAAUUAUCAUAUCUCAAAUCCAUAAACUCAUGCAACUACGCUUAAUCUGAUCCCUGUGGAGUAUGAUUUGAUUUGAUUUAGGUAUGGGUUGG